UACAGAGGUCUCAAGCGUUGUUCGGAUUCAUUGGGCGUAAAGGGUGCGUAGGCGGCGCGGUAAGUCGGGUGUGAAAUCUCGGGGCUUAACUCCGAAACUGCAUUCGAUACUGCCGUGCUUGAGGACUGGAGAGGAGACUGGAAUUUACGGUGUAGCGGUGAAAUGCGUAGAUAUCGUAAGGAAGACCAGUGGCGAAGGCGGGUCUCUGGACAGUUCCUGACGCUGAGGCAACGAAGGCCCAGGGGGAGCAAACGGG
rnacentral:rRNA from 1 species